rnacentral:lncRNA from 1 species
AGCAGAAGUGGGUCAACAACAGCCUUGAGAGAGACUUCUGACUCAUGUGAACAUAUGUGUGUGACGUCAGCAGGGUUACAGCGUUGACAAGGUUAUUUUCAUUCAAUGUUAUUCGCUUGUGCUCAUCAGUUCUUGGCAGUGAACACAGAAGUGCAGACGCCGUGUCCUUUCACUUACCAGCUGCGCUUUGUCAAACCUGCCAUCCGCUCGGCUGCUCGCACUGGACACGAUUAAAGACAUUCAAGAUAUAUAUUCGCUAAAAACAACACACACUGAAUGCAUCUAGUUUUAAGCACUAUAUUACUGAAAACAGUGCAUAUACAAACACAUAAGUUUCAUAUUUUAAGCACAAAAACAUUCUUUCCAAUGAUGCAGAACAUUAACAUAAAUUCUGUGCUGUUUUCCUCUGUAGGGUUGAAGUUAAAGUCCCGGAGCAUCUCAUCAUACAGAAGAACAACAGAAGAUGUGGCCGUCGAGUGCAGAAGAACAUGUGUCUGUCCCCGACUGAUCCAUACUCGGGCAUUCUCACUACCGGCGUUACCGUAGAUACAGAUGAGCACUGGUGCUCUCAGAUCAACAGACUGCAACAGCUCAUCGACAAACUGGAGUGUCAGGUGAAUACACUCAAAUAUCCACUCACACAGAAUAUUCUUUCUGUCUUGAGCAUGUGUUUUAAUAUAUCAUGUUCCAAGCCAAUUUUCAUUUGCUUUUCAUUUUUAGAGUCCAAAGUUGGAGCCGCUGAAAGAAGAUACACUGGCCAGCACGUACAAGUCGAACAUUCUGCUGGUGCAGAGACAGAUGAGCGUGACAGAGAAUGAUCUCGAGGAGUUCCAGAAGGCUCUGAAGACCUACGCCGACACCACCGCCAAUCAGAACGACAACCUCCAGUGAGAAAAACACAACACACCAGUUAUUUAUAUAUAAUGACCUUAUAAAGGCUUCCUGUAAAGCUUGACAUAGUCAGAAAAAAUAUAAGUUUUUGAAAUGGAACAGUUCAGAAUAGAACAGAACAGAAAAAAUAUAUUUUAUAUAUCAGGCUUUUAUGACUCAUAGUGAGAAUAUGGAGGGA